GAGGUCUUAGCUUAAUAAAAGCGUCUGGGUUGCAUUCAGGAGAUGCAUAUUAGAGUUUUGCAGGCCUU
rnacentral:tRNA from 1 species